GCUCUGCUGUCAUUGCUUCACUUUCCAUUGUGCUGCGGUUAAAUUGUCUCAUUUCUGGGAGAUACUCCAGUGAGUUUGCUGAACCCCACGGAAUGUUUUUACCACGAUAAUCCAGUAUUUAUAAAGAAGAAACAGUCUUGUAUAUAAGGUCUUCACCCUUUGUAGCUAGUUUUGAGUAACUGCAAAUAUGAAUCUGCCCAGCUAUAAUAUUUUUACAAAUGGAGUGAAGGAGAAGGGGUGAGGAAAAAAUGGAGGAGGAAAAGCCAGUUAUCUCUUAAUGACUUUGGUGCUGGAAAUCAUUCAAAUUACUCUUCCACCUCGUAGAACAAGACCUGAAAAUGGUACUUGGAGCUAAAGACUUAGAUUGGAUUUACGGGGCUUAGCUGGUUGCCAGCAAACUGUCAUGGAGUGAAGUCUAAUUGCAUCCACAAAUGAUGUAUCCCAUCGAUGAGCACCAAGAAGACCCCAGUUCUUCACUCCCAGACUGAUGCCCAGCCUGACCUGCCACUGCAGAGCUAUUCCUGAGCUCAGAUUUACUGUGACUCGCUGUAGAGAACUAAGCCAAACCUGCUGUUUUAUUGGAAAAUCUCCAUUCAGACACAAAUUGAGUUCAAUAAUUGCUCAGCCAACUGUGUUUUUCUUGAACUUGCUACAUCUACUACUUAUAUAGAGUAUUUUAGGAGUUUCUCUCCAGUAGCUGUCUUGUUGGAAGACAAAGCACUGGUCUGUUUGGUAGAUCUUAAGAUAGAAUAAAGCAAGUGCCACCCUGCAGCUGGUUUAUUGGAGGACUUAUGUGGAGCUGAGAAAACACACUGGUACAGAUGUGUUCCUGUUUCUUAGAUUUCAAAACUUCCUAGUUUAAAUUCAUCUUCAAGCUCCACUUUGAUAUCUGCAGAACUUAAAGACAGUAAAAGAAGCACGAGCAUAUAGGACUGAUGCUGCCAGUCAUUUCUGUCUGAGAGCUCAAAUACAGCAGCAUAAGAGCAAGGUACAGUGGAUAAGGAAAGGAAAAUAACUGUUUAUCCCAAAGAUUCUCCUUUCUCUAUUUUAGUGCUUGUCAGCCUGACUAUGUGCCUCCACAAGUCCUGCUGGAGGGCAGCCCUGUUGGCUGGAGCCUUCCUCUACUGAGUGCGUGGGGCCCAUUAAGGAAGUGAAGGACAUCUUUUGAGAGAAGCUUCAUCUUUUUACAUGUUUAAUAUCAUUGCAGGUCUGAGAAGGACAACUGAAUUGGAAAUCUUGUUUCUAGUGCUUUUUUUUUUUACCAGUAAUUUUCUCCCCAUUCCUUUACUCUGAUUAAAUUAAUCUGUCAU
rnacentral:lncRNA from 7 species